UGGGGGAUAUUGCACAAUGGGCGAAAGCCUGAUGCAGCGACGCCGCGUGGGGGAUGAAGGCUUUCGGGUUGUAAACCUCUUUCGCUAUCGAACAAGGCCCGCUUAGGGUGGGUUGAGGGUAGGUGGAGAAGAAGCGCCGGCUAACUACGUGCCAGCAGCCGCGGUAAUACGUAGGGCGCGAGCGUUGUCCGGAAUUAUUGGGCGUAAAGGGCUUGUAGGCGGCUUGUUGCGCCUGCUGUGAAAACGCGGGGCUUAACUUCGCGCGUGCAGUGGGUACGGGCAGGCUUGAGUGUGGUAGGGGUGACUGGAAUUCCGGGUGUAGCGGUGGAAUGCGCAGAUAUCUGGAGGAACCCCGAUGGCGAAGGCAGGUCACUGGGCCAUUACUGACGCUGAGGAGCGAAAGCAUGGGUAGCGAACAGG
rnacentral:rRNA from 1 species